AGGGAAUUUUCGGCAAUGGGGGGAGCCCUGACCGAGCAACGCCGCGUGAAGGAGGAAGGUCUUCGGACUGUAAACUUCUGUUAUAAAGGAAGAAAGGCGGAUACAGGGAAUGGUAUCCGAGUGACGGUACCUUAUGAGGAAGCCACGGCUAACUACGUGCCAGCAGCCGCGGUAAUACGUAGGUGGCAAGCGUUAUCCGGAAUUAUUGGGCGUAAAGAGGGAGCAGGCGGCAGCAAGGGUCUGUGGUGAAAGACUGAAGCUUAACUUCAGUAAGCCAUAGAAACCGGGCAGCUAGAGUGCAGGAGAGGAUCGUGGAAUUCCAUGUGUAGCGGUGAAAUGCGUAGAUAUAUGGAGGAACACCAGUGGCGAAGGCGACGAUCUGGCCUGCAACUGACGCUCAGUCCCGAAAGCGUGGGGAGCAAAUAGGAUUAGAUACCCUAGUAGUCCACGCCGUAAACGAUGAGUACUAAGUGUUGGGAGUCAAAUCUCAGUGCUGCAGUUAACGCAGUAAGUACUCCGCCUGAGUAGUACGUUCGCAAGAAUGAAACUCAAAGGAAUUGACGGGGGCCCGCACAAGCGGUGGAGCAUGUGGUUUAAUUCGAAGCAACGCGAAGAACCUUACCAGGUCUUGACAUACUCAUAAAGGCUCCAGAGAUGGAGAGAUAGGUAUAUGGGAUACAGGUGGUGCAUGGUUGUCGUCAGCUCGUGUCGUGAGAUGUUGGGUUAAGUCCCGCAACGAGCGCAACCCUUAUCGUUAGUUACCAUCAUUAAGUUGGGGACUCUAGCGAGACUGCCAGUGACAAGCUGGAGGAAGGCGGGGAUGACGUCAAAUCAUCAUGCCCCUUAUGACCUGGGCUACACACGUGCUACAAUGGAUGGAGCAGAGGGAAGCGAAGCCGCGAGGUGGAGCGAAACCCAGAAAACCAUUCUCAGUUCGGAUUGUAGUCUGCAACUCGACUACAUGAAGUUGGAAUCGCUAGUAAUCGCGAAUCAGCAUGUCGCGGUGAAUACGUUCUCG
rnacentral:rRNA from 1 species